ensembl:lncRNA
GCUGGUCCAAUUAAUUGUGAACACAAGUUCACACAUGGAGUAUUUCCUCUGGUGUGCUGCAAAAAGAAGUAGUGUCGCUGAGUACUAUCAGCAAUGAUAAAUAUGGAAUCUGAUCCACCUGACCUUUGCCAAAGCAUUCCAGUAAAGACAGAAUGUCCAUCAACAGGACCACUGGACUUGGAAAGAAGGGAGGCUGAUGGUUGAAAAAGCUAGAAGGUCUCUCUUGGAAAAGGAUUGAUCCCAAGAUGGAAAAAUAGCCAUUAAUUACAUAGGUGAGAUGACACAGAAGGAACUGACCAGUCAUUCAGCAAACGUCUGUGUGUGUUUUGGGGGGCGGGGGAAAAUCAGUCGGUGAGAGCAAGUUCUCAAUGGUAGAUGAAAGGAAUGAGCAGCUCCUACUCUAGGGCCAAAAAAUCGGAAUGAUUCCUGGGGUUAACAAAAGGAAGAGGCAGAAAUGGGUCAGAGCAGAUUCCCCUUACGGGAGGAGGCGGCACACCUGGGCUCCCCCCAACUAUCGGGGUUUAGGCUGGCGGUUUUGGGCUCCCAAACCAGUUCCCGGAGAAUCAUCCGGGAUCUCUCCGUGACCGCCACCGGGAACAUUGGGCGAGUUUGCCGGCCUGUGCGACCCCCGCUCUGGCUGCCACCGCCUCGGCACCUCCAGGGCCGCCCUCCAGCUGCCUCUCUUGAUAGAGAGCCCACAGUCCAACGUUGGGCAGGAAGACGAGGGCCGUCAGCCCCAACCCACAGCCUGCAGGAGCCGCUUCUCCUUCCGCUUCAUCGGGGCCGGUCCCCCUGGAGCGCGCCCGCCCUGGCCCCGGGCACCAACUCCGCGGCGCCCGUAGUAGCGGUAGCGGCGACAGCAAGCAGCGGCCGGGAGACACGGCCCCGGAGCCGGCCCCAGUCCAACUCCCCGACACUUCCGCUCCGCCGAGAGAGGAGGGGAGUCGGGCGCUACCACCACACCCCCACCUCGGGGGGAGGGGAUGAAGACCCACCACCCACAUCCUUCAUUCCCUCCUUCUCGCUAGAUUACACCAGCUUUAUCGCCCCCCCCCCCCAUCAAAAAGACUUUUCUGGACUCCAGGUCAACCCUAAUCCUCGCCUCAAGUACGACUGGCCUCAGCUGGCCUUGGCUCUGAGAAGGGGGUGAGUUCGUGCUCCCCCUCGCCGGUCCCCAAAUGGUCUCACCCGCCCGCUGGCUUAGGUAAAGUCCAGGAGUUGCCUGAAGGGAGGACUAACUGGUCGGAAAGCUAACUGGUUGCGAAGGGUGCGGAGAGGUGACUGGCACCGCAAGCUAGUGUAGUACUGAGGACGUGGCGAGGCGGGAGGGGCACGCCGCUACCCUAAAGGAAAGUCCGUUAAUUAGCCACUGGAUAAGCUGGUCCACCUGGAAGAGACCACUCCCAGGAGUGUGAGGGGCCAAAAUCUCCCGGCCCGAAAAGUCCUAGAAGCCCAGGAAGGGGCUGGAGGUCUGUGUGGUUCGGUUGGAUUCGGCGCACGUUCUAUUUCUAUUCUAAUUUCUAUUCUAGUGAAUAGAAAUUCUUAGCGGGUUUGGCUUCCCUGCCCUCGAGGAGCCCUGGAGCUGUAGCCCGCAGGCGCCCCCUGCUGCCAAAGCGGGUGGUAGGUGCCCGAAAGGCGCCACUUUCGAUUCGGGGAAAUACGGCGGAGGUCAGUCCGAGCUCUAGGAAGGACAGAGGAGGAGAGAAAAAGAUGCGGAAGGACCUUGGUCAGAGCCUCAAAUUAUGGGCGGGGGACAGGCUGAGCUCCGCGGGGAAGGCAUAGUCUCCAGUACGCAUUGUACUCCAUUAACCCCCGAUGGAGAUAAACGGGAAUAAAUAGGUUUCUAUAAGAAUCA